rnacentral:rRNA from 1 species
UACGAAGGGGGCUAGCGUUGUUCGGAAUUACUGGGCGUAAAGGGCGCGUAGGCGGUGUGUCAAGUCAGGCGUGAAAGCCCCGGGCUCAACCUGGGAACCGCGCUUGAGACUGGCACGCUCGAGUUCGGGAGAGGAUGGUGGAAUUCCCAGUGUAGAGGUGAAAUUCGUAGAUAUUGGGAAGAACACCGAUGGCGAAGGCAGCCAUCUGGACCGACGCUGACGCUGAGGCGCGAAAGCGUGGGGAGCAAACAGG